rnacentral:rRNA from 1 species
CCUACGGGGGGCAGCAGUGGGGAAUAUUGGACAAUGGGGGCAACCCUGAUCCAGCCAUGCCGCGUGUGUGAAGAAGGCCCUCGGGUUGUAAAGCACUUUCAGUGAGGAAGAACGCCUGGUGGUUAAUACCCAUCAGGAAAGACAUCACUCACAGAAGAAGCACCGGCUAACUACCGUGCCAGCAGCCGCGGUAAUACGGAGGGUGCGAGCGUUAAUCGGAAUUACUGGGCGUAAAGCGCGCGUAGGUGGCUUGAUAAGCCGGUUGUGAAAGCCCCGGGCUCAACCUGGGAACGGCAUCCGGAACUGUCAAGCUAGAGUGCAGGAGAGGAAGGUAGAAUUCCCGGUGUAGCGGUGAAAUGCGUAGAGAUCGGGAGGAAUACCAGUGGCGAAGGCGGCCUUCUGGACUGACACUGACACUGAGGUGCGAAAGCGUGGGUAGCAAACAGGAUUAGAUACCCGGGUAGUC